rnacentral:tRNA from 1 species
AUUUAUUUAGUUUAAAAAAAACAUUCCAUUUUCAAUGGAAAAAUAAGAAAUUCUUCAUAAA